rfam:Oryza glaberrima chromosome 8 Oglab08_0151_4, whole genome shotgun sequence.
AAUAAGUGUAAUUUUAAUAUUAUUUAUGUUCAACGUUUGAUCGUUCGUCUUAUUUGAAAAAAUAAUUAUGAUUAAUAUUUUUAUUGUUAUUAGAUGUUAAUACAUGAAUAGUACUUUAUGUGUGACUAAUAUUUUUAAUUUUUUUUAUAAAAUUUUCAAAUAAGACAGACGGUCAAAACGCUAGAUAUAGAUGUGGCUAUACUUAUU